UGAAAUGUUAUCCCAAGAUUUAGGCGGUUAAGAGAGAAUGUGCCUUCUCCCUCAUCUCUUUGCUCAUCCAUACCACUGAAUGCAGAGAAAAAUGAGGCCUUAGGAGAUUUUGGAUUACAGGAGGUUAGAAAGCUGAUAUGCAAAAUCUCUAAAUUGCACUGGCAACCCUCCAAGGAAAUCUACUACAGACAACCAAAAGCUGGAUGAGAAGAAACAGAAAGAAAUUUUUCAAAUAGUAUGACUGCAAGUGUUCUAGCCUGGAUGACAUCUACUCCC